UAGAGAAGCCGUGAGAAUGUAGAAAUAAGUGGAAACAGAUCCUCUCCCGUAGGUAUAACGGCCUCGUGUAUCCUCCUGUAAGUUUAUCAGCCUUCGGCGUGAGAGAAAAAGCGAAAAGCUCUCGGCGGGUCAAGGCUCUGGAGCUUGCGCACUGGGGCUCGCUGCUUUCCCGUUCACACGUCCGGGAGGUGGGUGUGCUUUUUCUCGUUCUCGGCGACACACGGGCGAGAUACGGGCCGUAUCUAUCGAGAGCCGGCACACCAGAAAUAGCCAACGCGGUAAACGCGCGCGUUUAGUUCCGUGGCGAAGACGCAAGAGAGUCGAAAAGCUCCGAAAAGCUCCCGUAUCGAUCCCGAAACGCCCGAGUUAAUUUCCUCCGCUCGAAUCUCGAGCUCGAAGAGUAAAAGCUCGUCUCGGGCGAGCGAGCAGGCACGCCCUCGCCGUCCCAUCUUCGGGACGCAUCUUCUCUCACGCUCGUGAUGUGAAAUAAAUAGUACAAUUCGAACAAUCGAGUACCUUGUAACCCACGGAAUCCACGGGAGAAGCGGAAGGACGAAUCGAACAUUUUCCGGGAGCAUGUGAUGGCCGCUGGAAAUAAAUCCGCGCGCCGUUUGCGUCGGAUGCGUCGUUUAACGGUUUGAGAGACACAAAUUGAAAAGAUGACAGCGAGAUCUACUACAUUAGAUAAUAAACAAGUGGAGCAAAUGGAUUCGAUCAC
rnacentral:misc_RNA from 1 species